rnacentral:rRNA from 1 species
ACUCCUACGGGAGGCAGCAGUGGGGAAUCUUGGACAAUGGGGGAAACCCUGAUCCAGCAAUGCCGCGUGUGGGAUGAAGGCCCUCGGGUUGUAAACCACUUUUGGCAGGAAAGAAAUCGCCUGUGCUAAUACCACGGGCGGAUGACGGUACCUGCAGAAUAAGCACCGGCUAACUACGUGCCAGCAGCCGCGGUAAUACGUAGGGUGCGAGCGUUAAUCGGAAUUACUGGGCGUAAAGAGUGCGUAGGCGGUUUUGUAAGACAGAUGUGAAAUCCCCGGGCUUAACCUGGGAACUGCAUUUGUGACUGCAAGACUAGAGUGUGUCAGAGGGAGGUGGAAUUCCGCGUGUAGCAGUGAAAUGCGUAGAGAUGCGGAAGAACACCGAUGGCGAAGGCAGCCUCCUGGGAUAACACUGACGCUCAGGCACGAAAGCGUGGGGAGCAAACAGGAUUAGAUACCCUGGUAGUCCACGCCCUAAACGAUGUCAACUGGUUGUUGGGGAUUCAUUUCCUUAGUAACGUAGCUAACGCGUGAAGUUGACCGCCUGGGGAGUACGGCCGCAAGGUUAAAACUCAAAGGAAUUGACGGGACC